AGGAGAAGCAGGCGGCGGCUUGGGUCCCAGAGAGAGAGAAGCCAACUUCCUAUUCAGUCACAUUGCUUGUGUGAUCUGUCCUAAUUCGCAGCCGUUCUUUCACCAGGACAGGGGCACUGCCACCUCCGGAUGUCACACUAGUCUUGUUCCCCUGCCUGGAAUGCUUCCUCCCAGCUGGUCUCACAGGGGGCAGGAUUUGGGGUCAAACACACUGGUCUGGGACCUUGGGCUCUGCCACCUGCGUGGACCUGGUCAAGGAGCAGAGCCUCCAUUUCUUCACCGACCGCAUUGUUUUGAAAAAUGUAGCUCAUCCACUUUAGUUAGAGACAAGUAAGAGCACGACCAUGAACCCCGAGGCUGUCGUCACACAAGGUAAAUACGGGAGGUAGGGAGCAUUGUUGUGCAGUGGUUGUCCUGGACCCAGGGGGCAGGUGUCUCCACGCACCCGCGUGAAGGGCUUUCCUAGGAGACUUGAAACGAGACCGAUAAAAUGUGGGAGAAUCGUGAAAAAUGUAAAAUGAACCCAGUAUCUCGAAACUGCUGCCUGCCCAGGUCAAAGGUAAGAACACGAGAACAUUCUGCAUAAACAGACGUUAUUAAAGGUGAUGGUGGCUGGAGGGUUGGUCCCAGCCAUGCGCCGCCGGGCAUCCUGCAUUCCUUGGCAAAGAUCCUUCCCCCCCCCCCGCCUACGUUACCAGUAGCUGUAGCUGGGAAGAAUCACCCCACUCAGCUAUUUUUAGCAGCUUCCCAUUGAAGUGUUCGAUUUCACAUUUUAAGUUGGUUUCAAAAUGCUCGCCCAACCCAAAUAAACCCAGGCUCAAAAAUGAAAGGAAAUGGCUUAUCGCUUUCUGAUGCUCUAAGGAGUCAACAGUGACGCCGGCCCUGUGCGAUGCUGGGUCCUUCAGCCACCCCGCCGCGGGGCAGGACGCCCGCGCAUGCGCGCUGCCAACUGCUUGCUGAAUUCCUGUCCAGACGAGCUCCUUGGGAUAUCUUCCCAGAGGAUAUUAUCGCGACCUUCUAGAUAAUCCACCGAAAUACCAUCUUUCAAGAGUUUCUAUUCAGAUUCCAUUAAACCUCUCUGAUUGGAUUCCCCUAUACCGUAGGGGAGUAUUAUUACCACACUUGAUAAAAGAAAGCAGGCCGUUCAUUCAUCCAUCCAUCCAUUUGACAAUAAUUAUUAGGUGCCUAGGGCAUGCCAGGAAUUAUUCCUAGGUCAUUUCUGGUAGGGGAGCUAAGAAAGCACUAAUACAUAAAAAGUUAAUUAAUUUAUGUCAGUAUAGAAUUGAAUAGAAUAGCGGUUACAUUUAUUGAGUACAGUUAGUAAGUUAACUGAAUGUAACCAUACACGACAGCCUUGAUGUAGUAUCUUGGUAUUACACACUGGGUGGGACCCUUAGCUCUUUAGAAAUAUAUUAGCUCACUUAAUGCUUCCCAAUUUUACAAAUGAGGAAACUGAGAAACCAAAAGGUUGAGUAUCUUUUAAAAGUCCCGCAGUGGUUUGGUGGCCAGUGGGAUCUGAAGGCUGGCUCUGUGGAUUUUUGAGUCUGUCUUGCAGACGUGUGACAGUGCCCUGUGUGACCGUUGAGACAGCCCAUGAAUGAGUGGACAGGAGGAGUCAGAAGCUGACAAGGGCCACAACAGAGGUGAACUUGGUGAUGACGAUGAGGUGUGGGAGCAGAGGAAGUGUCAGCGAUCUGGGAGAAUACCCCGGAGUCUCUGAACAAGAUAACGGAGUCCCUCUGGAACGACAGGAGUCUGACCUAAGCUACAGUCCUGGACCCAGGGACGUGCGCUGAGCUCCAGUGAGCAUGGGACCAUUCAAGCAGAGCUUCAUGCUCACCUCAAGACUUCC